GCCAGCGUGGUAUAGUGGUUUGAGUGCUGGACUACAACUCUGAAGACAAGGGUUCAAACCCCUGCACAGCCA